GAUAGUGGCUCUGUGUUGGUCGUCGGGUCUCUGAUCGUGGGGUUGCUACUUUAAAAAAGACGAUCUCAGCAAGAUGAUCAGGAAACGGAGGGAGAUGUUCAAGAAAGUCUGACUACAGGAGAAACCAAGACCACUCUUACUGACGACCACUGAAAUCAACACUUCUUGUUUGCUUGAGCCCGCAUCAGCAUUUUAACUUUUCCUAAUGCAAACAUCCAUGUACAUAACCAGGUAAAGCUUGUAUCACUGUGAUUUAACAGAAACUGCAAGCGCUUUGUUCACCUUUAAUCUACCAAGUAAACGAGCUCCAAUCAAGUUUAAAAUGUCAACAAAGACUGAUAUAUCGCUGACAACAGGAGUAAAAGGGGUCCAGGUCAGGCUCUGUUGUCUUAAAGUAACCACAUUGGGAACCGUUCCGACACCACGGAGUCUCUGAUGUUGAUUUAUGGAGGACAAAAGUGUAUAAUGUGAUGAUUUAGCCCACGCAAUAACUGUAGCUUUUGGCAGCUUAUCAGCCUCCUUCUUACUCCCUCUUCACGUUCCAUGUCUUUAGUGAAGGGUUAGAAUCAUGCAAUACUUUUAAUUCGUGUGUGUGUGUGUGUGUGUGUGUGUGUAUGUAUUUUAAGGAAAUGCAACUAUUUCCUGCCAACGUUUCUUUUAUUCAUAUAUGUUGUGCUAGGAGGGGUUAGAGGCAUAAAAACAGGCGUGCUUGCUGUUGCCAUGGUGCUUUCAGACACUCUCUGCCAGUCUGCGCGGGCGCAAUCAGGAGAACAAAAAAGUUUGGGAAUUUCAUUCACUGUGUGAGAGUAUGUAGUCAUAAGACAAACAUUUCAGGAAUGCCAGACAUCCAUCAAACUGGUCGGAGGCAACAGAGCAGGCUGUGAUAGGCCCUUUUUUUGAGGUUUGGUUUAUUUAACUUUUUUCACAACCGAGUUCUCAGAGAAACCGCCUCGCAUGCCUUUAAAAUCUUGAAUUCUGAUCGAGCCUGCAUGUCAAGCUCGAGCCUGUCAGACCAAAUAUUCUCUACUGUACUGAAGACAAGCCAAAAGUGGAAAACAAAACUCCUAAUCAAUCAUAAAUGUGAAUGAUUAACUGUUCUGUAACACACAGUUAAUCAUUGACCUGUUUGGAGAAAAAGCAGUUUAUGAAGUUUAUGAGUUUAUGAAAUCAACGACAAACGUCCUUAACUACUGUCAGUCAUUCAGAUUCUGUGUGUCGUGAAAAUUAGGUUUAUAUACAUGUAUGUGUUUGUAAAAUGAACUGUAUACUCUUUUAAUUAUUUUUUUAUCGUGUUUUUUAGCACUAGCACCUUGUACAAACUGUGAAUUGUGAUUGUAUGGUAAUAAAACAAAGUCUAAAUAAAAAAAACAUAAAACAA